GCCGAAGUGGCGGAAUAGGCAGACGCAGGGGACUCAAAAUCCCCCGAGUCUUAGCACUCAUGAGGGUUCGACUCCCUCCUUCGGCA
rnacentral:tRNA from 1 species